GUAGGUUAUGGGGACAUGAGGCCAGUCACUGUUGGGGGCAAAAUCGUAGGAUCCCUGUGCGCCAUUGCUGGCGUAUUGACGAUUGCGCUCCCAGUGCCUGUUAUCGUGUCCAAC
rfam:Astyanax mexicanus chromosome 7, whole genome shotgun sequence.